rnacentral:rRNA from 1 species
GACGAACGCUGGCGGCGUGCUUAACACAUGCAAGUCGAACGGAAAGGCCCUGCUUUUGUGGGGUGCUCGAGUGGCGAACGGGUGAGUAACACGUGAGUAACCUGCCCUUGACUUUGGGAUAACUUCAGGAAACUGGGGCUAAUACCGGAUAGGAGCUCCUGCUGCAUGGUGGGGGUUGGAAAGUUUCGGCGGUUGGGGAUGGACUCGCGGCUUAUCAGCUUGUUGGUGGGGUAGUGGCUUACCAGGGCUUUGACGGGUAGCCGGCCUGAGAGGGUGACCGGCCACAUGGGGACUGAGAUACGGCCCAGACUCCUACGGGAGGCAGCAGUGGGGAAUAUUGUACAGUGGGCGGAAGCCUGAUGCAGCAACGCCGCGUGCGGGAUGACGGCCUUCGGGUUGUAAACCGCUUUCGCCUGUGACGAAGCGUGAGUGACGGUAAUGGGUAAAGAAGCACCGGCUAACUACGUG